rnacentral:rRNA from 1 species
CAGUCGCCGCGGUAAAACGGAGGGGGCUAGCGUUGUUCGGAAUUACUGGGCGUAAAGCGCACGUAGGCGGCUUUGUAGUAAGAGGUGAAAGCCCGGAGCUCAACUCCGGAAUUGCCUUUAAGACUGCAGAACUAGCAGGUGAGAGAGGUGAGUGGAAUUCCGAGUGUAGAGGUGAAAUUCGUAGAUAUUCGGAAGAACACCAGUGGCGAAGGCGGCUCACUGGCUCAUACUGGACGCUGAGGUGCGAAAGCGUGGGGAGCAAACAGGAUUAGAGACCCCCGUAGUCCCUGUCUCUUAUACA